AGUUAUGACUAGAGGCGACUUUGUGCAGGUUUCCUUGACCAAGAAAGGUCAGUGUUGUAAAUAAAAUGUUCCUGAAAAAAUAUGAAUAUACAGUAUUUUGAUUUUAAAUAAGUUGUAUGCUAACAAAUGCAUGCAGAAUGGGUUAAGAUCAUUACAUCAGAGAUCAUAAAAAAUACUCCAGUUUAAAUAACAGCUGCUUCUUUUAUUUUAUGAAAGCAAAUUUGAUACUAUUAAUCUGACAAUAAUUAUUUUCUCCACCUCUCAGCCACCCUCAAACCCAAGCUCCAACUGGGGGUACACAGACACCGACACUUCCCAGCAACCCUUGCUGUGUGUCCUAUGGGUUGCCCAAUGUGCUCCGAGUGGUCACCAAGCAGGGUGACAACAAAGGAAAACAGUUCUACACCUGUAAAAAUGACAGACGACAGCCACAUAGUGGACAUGAAGGCUUGAUGAGGAUGGCAGAGGUGGUGAUGGGACCGCAGACUGUACCAUGAAAAGUUCAAAGACCUCAAGCUGCAGCAAAUUAGGGUAAGUUUAAGGUGUGUGUGAGUGAGGAAGAGGAAAUGUGUGUGUGUGCGUGUGCACAUGUGAUGCAUCAUCCACUGCAGUUUUAUUGAGAUACAGUGUUGAUUAUGUGGAUCUGUCGGACACUAUAAUGAGCAUUACUUGAUUGUAUGUAAAGUAUCAUGCAGUCAUGUUGUCAGUGGUGGAAAAAGUAUUCAAUUCUAAUACUUGAGUUAAAGUAAAGAUACCUUAAUAGAAAAAGAGAAAGUCAACCAGUAAAAUACUACUUGAGUAAAAGUCAAAGUAUUUGGUUUUCAAUAUACUUUUACUAUCAAAAGUAAAUGUAGUUGCUAAAAUAUACUUAAGUAUCAAAAGUAAAAGUAAAAGGAUGAAUAUUUUAAAAUUCCUUAUAUUAAGCAAACCAGACGGCACAAUU
rnacentral:lncRNA from 8 species